GACGAACGCUGGCGGCGUGCUUAACACAUGCAAGUCGAACGGAAAGGCCCUGCUUUUGUGGGGUGCUCGAGUGGCGAACGGGUGAGUAACACGUGAGUAACCUGCCCUUGACUUUGGGAUAACUUCAGGAAACUGGGGCUAAUACCGGAUAGGAGCUCCUGCUGCAUGGUGGGGGUUGGAAAGUUUCGGCGGUUGGGGAUGGACUCGCGGCUUAUCAGCUUGUUGGUGGGGUAGUGGCUUACCAAGGCUUUGACGGGUAGCCGGCCUGAGAGGGUGACCGGACGCGCGGGCGCGAGGGUGCGGCCCAGAGGCAGGGGGGAGGCGGCGGGGGGGAUUGUGGCGGCAGGGUCGGGAGCGUGAGGCUGCGAGGCGGGGUGCGGGACGUCGGCCUGCGGGUUGCCACCGCGUGUCGCCGGGGAAGAAGAGUGUGGGAGUGUAGCGGCAAAAGACGCACCGACUAACUGCGGGCCAGCAGCCGCGGUAAACAGCGGAACCCCACACGUCUGAAC
rnacentral:rRNA from 1 species